rnacentral:tRNA from 1 species
GGGGAUUUAGCUCAGUGGUUCUGCGUCUGUCUCACAAGCAGAAGGGCCCAAGUUCAAUCCCCA